AUGACUUUAGUCACAGUUAAAUGGAGUUAGUUAUGGCCAUUUAUCCUUAGGUAAUUCAAAUCAUGAGAUCAAGAACUGCCUCUAAAUUGCUACGUAAGAUGUUGAGGUGGGUAAUCAAGCGCCGCAAUGAAGUAUCGGGAGACGGAGAUGCAAGAGUUUGUCUGAGAUUCAUGGUAGGCGCUGGUGCCUUCGUAAAGUUCCUUACAAUUAGUAUGGGGAAUCCGGCAUCUCAACUGAAGUAUGUAAGCAAACUAAAGUUUAAAUCUAGAGAAAUCCGUCUUAUUGCGUGUAACUUAUGCCAUAUACUUGGUUUUCUUAUGAUUUUUGGGCAUCUUUUGAUAUAAUGAGCGUGACUGAUUGCCUGAUUCUGUAACAUUUGAGCCAUGGAUAUAGCUUGGGUAAGGAUUUGUUAUGCAAAUGUCUAUAUAUUGAGAAAAUAAGAUGAAGCAUGAAUAUCAGUAACCAAAA